rnacentral:lncRNA from 1 species
CGUAAUAAGGCUCAAAGGAAAAACAAAGCUAUUUAGUUAUUUAAAAUCCAGGGUUUAUGUCUGGGACAGAAGACCAGGCAUAUAUUGUAAUGUCGAAAUAUGACUGCUAUAGAGUCAUCAAUAGUUUCAAACUGUAAAGUAACUCAGACAAUAAUCUUUCAGAAAACUGAUUAAUUCUUAAUCAGUAUACUUUUCAAAGAAUGAUAUCAUUGUGCAUACCACUAAAAAAAAGAUCGAACUAAAAAUAUUCGAUAAUUUUAAUC